rnacentral:misc_RNA from 1 species
GAUGAAGAACGUAGCGAAAUGCGAUAAGUAAUGUGAAUUGCAGAAUUCAGUGAAUCAUCGAAUCUUUGAACGCACCUUGCGCUCCUUGGUAUUCCAAGGAGCAUGCCUGUUUGAGUGUCAUGAAAUUCUCAACCUUUUCAGCUUUCUUUGUUGAUCAGGCUUGGAUGUGGGAGUAUGCGGGCUUCUCAGAAGUCGGCUCUCCUGAAAUGCAUUAGCGGGACCUUUGUUGCCUGGCUUUGGUGUGAUAAUUAUCUACGCCAUUGUAGUCAAGCAGCUUAAAAUGAGGUUUCAGCUUCUAACCGUCUCCCCUGAGACAACUUUUUGACAAUUUGACCUCAAAUCAGGUAGGACUACCCGCUGAACUUAAGCAUAUCAAUAAGCGGAGGA